rnacentral:rRNA from 1 species
GCAGUAGCCGCGGUAAUACGAAGGGGGCUAGCGUUGUUCGGAUUUACUGGGCGUAAAGGGUGCGUAGGCGGAUUGUUAAGUCAGGGGUGAAAUGCCGGGGCUCAACCUCGGAACUGCCUUUGAUACUGGCGAUCUUGAGUCCGGGAGAGGUGAGUGGAACUGCGAGUGUAGAGGUGAAAUUCGUAGAUAUUCGCAAGAACACCAGUGGCGAAGGCGGCUCACUGGCCCGGAACUGACGCUGAGGCACGACAGCGUGGGGAGCAAACAGGAUUAGAUACCCGCGUAGUCCCUGUCUCUUAUAC